rnacentral:SRP_RNA from 1 species
GCCAGGCAUGGUGGCGGGUGCCUGUAAUCCCAGCUACUUGGGAGGCUGAGGCAGGAGAAUCACUUGAACCUAGGAGGCAGAGGUUGCGGUGAGCUAAGCUGAGAUGGCGCCACUGCACUCCAGCCUGGGUGACAGAGUGAAACUCUGUCUCAA